GUCUCUUCCUCUUCAAAGCUUCCGCGAGGAGAAGACCACGGCGAUCCUCUGGUUCCUCAAACGGCAGCUCGACGUGACUGUUCACGGCUCUCUGUGGAGGAUGCAGGAACUGGAGCAUGUUGAACGUGGAAGAGUGGGACGUGAAGAUGACGUCACCUACAGAUGACCCUCAUGAGAACGUCUCACUGAAAGGUAACUUCAUUACCUUUGUAGCUCUAGGUCUUUGACUGCUGUGGCCUUUUCAUGCACAUUGCAACGAUCCUACAGAUUGGUUUCUCAGCUUUCAUGUUUAAUAAUUCUAAAUCUUUUCCUCUACUUUAGGAAUCGUCUUGGUUUGAAUCUGGAGUCCACGCUGAUGCAGCAGUUUGUCAGACUGUCGUUGAUUACUCCAGAGUUGAGAUUGUUUGUGUGAUGUCAUUGGAAUGAAAUAAAACACUUGGC
rnacentral:lncRNA from 1 species